rnacentral:lncRNA from 1 species
AGUGGGAGGAGAGAUGGGCAAGGUUCUUCCAUGACCGGGACUCCAAUAACUGAGCAGGUAUGACAUGUCUCUUUGAUGUCAUUGAAACCGGAAUUAAAUUAGUUGAUAGGGUUGAUGGUAGAUUAUGGUUGAGCUUGGUGAUUAAUGGAUGUGAUCGUGUUUGAUAAUAAAUGAUGUUAGAGAAUGGUUGUUUUGGUAAUAAAUAUGGUUUAAUGACUUAGAUAUGUGUCCACUCAAUGUAGUUGGUUGUGUUCAAUGUUAAUUGAUCUUUGCUUGUGAGAUGUUGAUUGAUCUUUACUUGUCUCGCUUCUAUAAAACACAUAUCUUCUCCUCUCCUAUCUCCAUCUCUUCUUAUCUUCUUUCUCUCUUCUGAAUCCAUUCUCUUCUUUCUCUCUUCUGAAUCCAUUCUCUUCUGUCUCUCUUCUCCACUU